GGAAACCCGUCGAGGUAAGGUCUAACCAACCGCCUUGUACCGAGUCCUUGGAGCCGAAGUGGUAACAUCAGGUUUAAGCGUAGGACAGGGAGCAACAGAGCCGAAACGAAAGCGAAGUGAUUGAGCUGGGAAAUUAUUAUUUAGUUGGAUUAGGUCGAUGCGUUUAUACUCGUAGCAGACAAUAUUGCUUAACUCGAUAGGGUGAGAGUUGAGGAACUACCCCCAGUCUGAGAGCU
rfam:Fusibacter sp. 3D3 DNA, contig: 25.